rfam:Schistosoma margrebowiei strain Zambia genome assembly, scaffold: SMRZ_contig0009233
AUCCAGCUGACGAGUGCCAAAUAGGAUGAAUCGCGCGUCCGGGAU